CCUACGGGAGGCUGCAGUGGGGAAUAUUGCACAAUGGGCGCAAGCCUGAUGCAGCCAUGCCGCGUGUGUGAAGAAGGCCUUCGGGUUGUAAAGCACUUUCAGCGGGGAGGAAGGCGGUGAGGGUAAUAACCUCAUCGAUUGACGUUACCCGCAGAAGAAGCACCGGCUAACUCCGUGCCAGCAGCCGCGGUAAUACGGAGGGUGCAAGCGUUAAUCGGAAUUACUGGGCGUAAAGCGCACGCAGGCGGUCUGUCAAGUCGGAUGUGAAAUCCCCGGGCUCAACCUGGGAACUGCAUUCGAAACUGGCAGGCUAGAGUCUUGUAGAGGGGGGUAGAAUUCCAGGUGUAGCGGUGAAAUGCGUAGAGAUCUGGAGGAAUACCGGUGGCGAAGGCGGCCCCCUGGACAAAGACUGACGCUCAGGUGCGAAAGCGUGGGGAGCAAACAGGAUUAGAUACCCUUGUAGUC
rnacentral:rRNA from 1 species